GAGGUAUUUAGGUGAUGAUUGUGAGGAUCCUAAUGAUUUUAAAUUAGAUAUUUUGGGUUGGUGGAGGUGUAAUGUUACAAAAUACAAGAUUCUUUCUAAGGUGGCAUAACACGUGUUAGCUAUUCCGGUAUCUACAGUUGUUUCUGAAGUAGCUUUCAGUACUGGUGGUCGUAUUUUAGAUCCAUUUCGAAGCUCUUUAUCUCCAUCGACAGUGCAAGCACUGGUUUGUUGUCAGAAUUGGUUGAGUUUAACAUCAAUUCCAAUCAACAUCAGCAACUACAUGGAUUAUAUUGAAAAUUCUGAGAUGAUUGAGUCAGAAUUUGGUGAAAGUUUAAAAAUCUCAACUGAUUGUUUGUAAGCAGUAUUGGUGGCUUGGUGCAAUUUUGGAAUAUAAUUGUUCUGGCAUUAUCCUUACUGGAAUUUUUGGAUGCCCAUGCUUCUGUUGCUGGAAUUUUUGGAUGCUGGUGUUGCUGUGUUUUUUUCUUCAAACUAUGCCGGAUGUUUAUGAUAAUUUAUUGCUGGUUGCUAAUGUAUUCGCUUGUUAAUGUUAACUUUUCUAGUGCGAACAAACUUUUAAUUUGAGGUGUUAAAAUUUGAUCAUGCAUCUUGCAUA